rnacentral:rRNA from 1 species
UACGAAGGGGGCUAGCGUUGCUCGGAAUGACUGGGCGUAAAGAGCGUGUAGGCGGCCAUACAGGUCAGCUGUGAAAACUCGAGGCUCAACCUCGAGACGUCGGUUGAAACCGUAUGGCUAGAGUCCGGAAGAGGAGAGUGGAAUUCCCGGUGUAGCGGUGAAAUGCGCAGAUAUCGGGAAGAACACCCGUGGCGAAGGCGGCUCUCUGGGACGGUACUGACGCUGAGACGCGAAAGCGUGGGGAGCGAACAGG